rnacentral:rRNA from 1 species
ACGCUCGACACCUACGGGGGGCAGCAGUGAGGAAUAUUGGUCAAUGGGCGCUAGCCUGAACCAGCCAAGUAGCGUGAAGGAUGAAGGCUCUAUGGGUCGUAAACUUCUUUUAUAUAAGAAUAAAGUGCAGUAUGUAUACUGUUUUGUAUGUAUUAUAUGAAUAAGGAUCGGCUAACUCCGUGCCUGCAGCCGCGGUAAUCUGAGCGGGCUGGCAAGGC